rnacentral:sRNA from 1 species
CAAUUUAACAUCAAACUCAGAUGUUGAGCGUGAAGGAUAACGUUGCGUCAGCAACGGCCCGAAGGGCGAGGCGAAGCCGAGUCAUCCUGCACAACCCACCA